rfam:Camelus ferus unplaced genomic scaffold scaffold190, whole genome shotgun sequence.
GGGGGUAUAGCUCAAUGGUAGGGCGCAUACUUAGUAUGCAGGAGGUCCUGAGUUCAAUCCCCAGUACCUCCA